rnacentral:rRNA from 1 species
GGCUCGCAGCGGUUCUGACGUGCAAAUCGAUCGUCAAAUCUGCGCAUGGGGGCGAAAGACUAAUCGAACCAUCUAGUAGCUGGUUACCGCCGAAGUUUCCCUCAGGAUAGCAGUGUUGUCUUCAGUUUUAUGAGGUAAAGCGAAUGAUUAGGGACUCGGGGGCUAUAUAUUGCCUUCAUCCAUUCUCAAACUUUAAAUAUGUAAGAAGCUCUUGUUACUUAGUUGAACGUGAGCAUUCGAAUGUACCAACACUAGUGGGCCAUUUUUGGUAAGCAGAACUGGCGAUGCGGGAUGAACCGAACGCGGGGUUAAGGUGCCGGAGUGGACGCUCAUCAGACACCACAAAAGGUGUUAGUACAUCUUGACAGCAGGACGGUGGCCAUGGAAGUCGGAAUCCGCUAAGGACUGUGUAACAACUCACCUGCCGAAUGUACUAGCCCUGAAAAUGGAUGGCGCUCAAGCGUCCCACCCAUACCUCGCCCUCAGGGUAGAAACGAUGCCCUGAGGAGUAGGCGGCCGUGGAGGUCAGUGACGAAGCCUAGGGCGUGAGCCCGGGUAGAACGGCCUCUAGUGCAGAUCUUGGUGGUAGUAGCAAAUACUUCAAUGAGAACUUGAAGGACCGAAGUGGGGAAAGGUUCCAUGUGAACAGCGGUUGGACGUGGGUUAGCCGAUCCUAAGCCAUAGGGAAGUUCCGUUUUAAAGUGCGCACUUGUGCGCCGUAUGGCGAAAGGGAAGCCGGUCAAUAUUC